ensembl:snRNA U1 U1 spliceosomal RNA
AUACUUGUGCGCUUUUUCUUUAAAUGUCAUUGGGUCUACUGGAGAAUCGUUUUGAUAAAACUGGAGGUUUCCCCAAAUGUGGGAAACUCCUCCGCAUAAUUUGUGGUAGUGGGGGGCUGCGUUCGUGCUUUCCCGAC